rnacentral:rRNA from 1 species
UUUGAAAUCUGGCCCCCAGGGCCCGAGUUGUAAUUUGCAGAGGAUGCUUUUGGCGCGGUGCCUUCCGAGUUCCCUGGAACGGGACGCCAUAGAGGGUGAGAGCCCCGUCUGGUCGGACGCCUAGCCUGUGUAAAGCUCCUUCGACGAGUCGAGUAGUUUGGGAAUGCUGCUCUAAAUGGGAGGUAUAUGUCUUCUAAAGCUAAAUACCGGCCAGAGACCGAUAGCGCACAAGUAGAGUGAUCGAAAGAUGAAAAGCACUUUGAAAAGAGGGUUAAAUAGUACGUGAAAUUGUUGAAAGGGAAGCGCUUGUGACCAGACUUGGGCCCGGUGGAUCAUCCAGCGUUCUCGCUGGUGCACUCCGCCGGGUUCAGGCCAGCAUCAGUUCGCCGCGGGGGAAAAAGGCUUCGGGAACGUGGCUCCUACGGGAGUGUUAUAGCCCGUUGCAUAAUACCCUGGGGCGGACUGAGGUUCGCGCUCCGCAAGGAUGCUGGCGUAAUG